rnacentral:rRNA from 1 species
GGGUUGUGAGGUUAAGCGACUAAGCGUACACGGUGGAUGCCCUGGCAGUCAGAGGCGAUGAAGGACGUGCUAAUCUGCGAUAAGCGUCGGUAAGGUGAUAUGAACCGUUAUAACCGGCGAUUUCCGAAUGGGGAAACCCAGUGUGUUUCGACACACUAUCAUUAACUGAAUCCAUAGGUUAAUGAGGCGAACCGGGGGAACUGAAACAUCUAAGUACCCCGAGGAAAAGAAAUCAACCGAGAUUCCCCCAGUAGCGGCGAGCGAACGGGGAGCAGCCCAGAGCCUGAAUCAGUGUGUGUGUUAGUGGAAGCGUCUGGAAAGGCGCGCGAUACAGGGUGACAGCCCCGUACACAAAAAUGCACAUGCUGUGAGCUCGAUGAGUAGGGCGGGACACGUGGUAUCCUGUCUGAAUAUGGGGGGACCAUCCUCCAAGGCUAAAUACUCCUGACUGACCGAUAGUGAACCAGUACCGUGAGGGAAAGGCGAAAAGAACCCCGGCGAGGGGAGUGAAAAAGAACCUGAAACCGUGUACGUACAAGCAGUGGGAGCACGCUUAGGCGUGUGACUGCGUACCUUUUGUAUAAUGGGUCAGCGACUUAUAUUCUGUAGCAAGGUUAACCGAAUAGGGGAGCCGAAGGGAAACCGAGUCUUAACUGGGCGUUAAGUUGCAGGGUAUAGACCCGAAACCCGGUGAUCUAGCCAUGGGCAGGUUGAAGGUUGGGUAACACUAACUGGAGGACCGAACCGACUAAUGUUGAAAAAUUAGCGGAUGACUUGUGGCUGGGGGUGAAAGGCCAAUCAAACCGGGAGAUAGCUGGUUCUCCCCGAAAGCUAUUUAGGUAGCGCCUCGUGAAUUCAUCUCCGGGGGUAGAGCACUGUUUCGGCAAGGGGGUCAUCCCGACUUACCAACCCGAUGCAAACUGCGAAUACCGGAGAAUGUUAUCACGGGAGACACACGGCGGGUGCUAACGUCCGUCGUGAAGAGGGAAACAACCCAGACCGCCAGCUAAGGUCCCAAAGUCAUGGUUAAGUGGGAAACGAUGUGGGAAGGCCCAGACAGCCAGGAUGUUGGCUUAGAAGCAGCCAUCAUUUAAAGAAAGCGUAAUAGCUCACUGGUCGAGUCGGCCUGCGCGGAAGAUGUAACGGGGCUAAACCAUGCACCGAAGCUGCGGCAGCGACACUAUGUGUUGUUGGGUAGGGGAGCGUUCUGUAAGCCUGUGAAGGUGUGCUGUGAGGCAUGCUGGAGGUAUCAGAAGUGCGAAUGCUGACAUAAGUAACGAUAAAGCGGGUGAAAAGCCCGCUCGCCGGAAGACCAAGGGUUCCUGUCCAACGUUAAUCGGGGCAGGGUGAGUCGACCCCUAAGGCGAGGCCGAAAGGCGUAGUCGAUGGGAAACAGGUUAAUAUUCCUGUACUUGGUGUUACUGCGAAGGGGGGACGGAGAAGGCUAUGUUGGCCGGGCGACGGUUGUCCCGGUUUAAGCGUGUAGGCUGGUUUUCCAGGCAAAUCCGGAAAAUCAAGGCUGAGGCGUGAUGACGAGGCACUACGGUGCUGAAGCAACAAAUGCCCUGCUUCCAGGAAAAGCCUCUAAGCAUCAGGUAACAUCAAAUCGUACCCCAAACCGACACAGGUGGUCAGGUAGAGAAUACCAAGGCGCUUGAGAGAACUCGGGUGAAGGAACUAGGCAAAAUGGUGCCGUAACUUCGGGAGAAGGCACGCUGAUAUGUAGGUGAAGCGACUUGCUCGUGGAGCUGAAAUCAGUCGAAGAUACCAGCUGGCUGCAACUGUUUAUUAAAAACACAGCACUGUGCAAACACGAAAGUGGACGUAUACGGUGUGACGCCUGCCCGGUGCCGGAAGGUUAAUUGAUGGGGUCAGCGCAAGCGAAGCUCUUGAUCGAAGCCCCGGUAAACGGCGGCCGUAACUAUAACGGUCCUAAGGUAGCGAAAUUCCUUGUCGGGUAAGUUCCGACCUGCACGAAUGGCGUAAUGAUGGCCAGGCUGUCUCCACCCGAGACUCAGUGAAAUUGAACUCGCUGUGAAGAUGCAGUGUACCCGCGGCAAGACGGAAAGACCCCGUGAACCUUUACUAUAGCUUGACACUGAACAUUGAGCCUUGAUGUGUAGGAUAGGUGGGAGGCUUUGAAGUGUGGACGCCAGUCUGCAUGGAGCCGACCUUGAAAUACCACCCUUUAAUGUUUGAUGUUCUAACGUUGACCCGUAAUCCGGGUUGCGGACAGUGUCUGGUGGGUAGUUUGACUGGGGCGGUCUCCUCCUAAAGAGUAACGGAGGAGCACGAAGGUUGGCUAAUCCUGGUCGGACAUCAGGAGGUUAGUGCAAUGGCAUAAGCCAGCUUGACUGCGAGCGUGACGGCGCGAGCAGGUGCGAAAGCAGGUCAUAGUGAUCCGGUGGUUCUGAAUGGAAGGGCCAUCGCUCAACGGAUAAAAGGUACUCCGGGGAUAACAGGCUGAUACCGCCCAAGAGUUCAUAUCGACGGCGGUGUUUGGCACCUCGAUGUCGGCUCAUCACAUCCUGGGGCUGAAGUAGGUCCCAAGGGUAUGGCUGUUCGCCAUUUAAAGUGGUACGCGAGCUGGGUUUAGAACGUCGUGAGACAGUUCGGUCCCUAUCUGCCGUGGGCGCUGGAGAACUGAGGGGGGCUGCUCCUAGUACGAGAGGACCGGAGUGGACGCAUCACUGGUGUUCGGGUUGUCAUGCCAAUGGCACUGCCCGGUAGCUAAAUGCGGAAGAGAUAAGUGCUGAAAGCAUCUAAGCACGAAACUUGCCCCGAGAUGAGUUCUCCCUGACUCCUUGAGAGUCCUGAAGGAACGUUGAAGACGACGACGUUGAUAGGCCGGGUGUGUAAGCGCAGCGAUGCGUUGAGCUAACCGGUACUAAUGAACCGUGAGGCUUAACCUUACAACGCCGAAGCUGUU